rnacentral:ncRNA from 1 species
CGGUUUCGGUUCCCCCGCCAGGGGGCCAAGAGGGAAUCAGGUGAGAAUCCUGAACAGUCCCGCUGCUGUGAGUUCCAGAGAGAUACACCCACUCGCCUACAGUGUGCCACUGUGGUCUGAACACGCCAUGGGAAGGCUGCGAGAAGGGGCAAAGAGUCCUAUUGGGCGUAGGAACAAGUCAGAAGACCUGCCAAACCAC